CGCGUGUACUGGUCCGGCCGGGCCUUUCCCUCUGUGGAACCCCAUGCCCUUCACUGGGUGUGGCGGGGAAACAGGACUUUUACUGUGAAAAAAUUAGAGUGCUCCAGGCAGGCCUAUGCUCGAAUACAUUAGCAUGGAAUAAUAGAAUAGGACGUGUGGUUCUAUUUUGUUGGUUUCUAGGACCGCCGUAAUGAUUAAUAGGGACAGUCGGGGGCAUCAGUAUUCAAUUGUCAGAGGUGAAAUUCUUGGAUUUAUUGAAGACUAACUACUGCGAAAGCAUUUGCCAAGGAUGUUUUCAUUAAUCAGGAACGAAAGUUAGGGGAUCGAAGACGAUCAGAUACCGUCGUAGUCUUAACCAUAAACUAUGCCGACUAGGGAUCGGACGGUGUUAUAUUUUGACCCGUUCGGCACCUUACGAGAAAUCAAAGUGCUUGGGCUCCAGGGGGAGUAUGGUCGCAAGGCUGAAACUUAAAGAAAUUGACGGAAGGGCACCACCAGGGGUGGAGCCUGCGGCUUAAUUUGACUCAACACGGGGAAACUCACCAGGUCCAGACACAAUGAGGAUUGACAGAUUGAGAGCUCUUUCUUGAUUUUGUGGGUGGUGGUGCAUGGGCCGUUCUUAGUUGGUGGAGUGAUUUGUCUGCUUAAUUGCGAUAACGAACGAGACCUUAAACCUGCUAAAUAGCCCGUAUUGCUUUGGCAGUACGCUGGCUUCUUAGAGGGACUAUCGG
rnacentral:rRNA from 1 species